GCACCAGCGGUUUAGUGGUAGAAUAGUACCCUGCCACGGUGGUAGAGACCCCGGUUCGAUUCCCGGUUGGUGCA